CUUGCACUGAAUUGACGUUGGAUUACCAGUGAGCGGCGGACGGGUGAGUAACACGUGGGCAACCUGCCCUGAAGUGGGGGAUAACAUCUGGAAACAGGUGCUAAUACCGCAUAACAACGAAAACCACAUGGUUUUCGUUUCAAAGAUGGUUUCGGCUAUCGCUUCAGGAUGGGCCCGCGGUGCAUUAGCUAGUUGGUAAGGUAACGGCUUACCAAGGCAAUGAUGCAUAGCCGAGUUGAGAGACUGAUCGGCCACAAUGGAACUGAGACACGGUCCAUACUCCUACGGGAGGCAGCAGUAGGGAAUCUUCCACAAUGGGCGUAAGCCUGAUGGAGCAACACCGCGUGAGUGAAGAAGGGUUUCGGCUCGUAAAGCUCUGUUGUUGGAGAAGAACGUGCGUGAGAGUAACUGUUCACGCAGUGACGGUAUCCAACCAGAAAGUCACGGCUAACUACGUGCCAGCAGCCGCGGUAAUACGUAGGUGGCAAGCGUUAUCCGGAUUUAUUGGGCGUAAAGCGAGCGCAGGCGGUUGCUUAGGUCUGAUGUGAAAGCCUUCGGCUUAACCGAAGAAGGGCAUCGGAAACCGGGCGACUUGAGUGCAGAAGAGGACAGUGGUACUCCAUGUGUAGCGGUGGAAUGCGUAGAUAUAUGGAAGAACACCAGUGGCGAAGGCGGCUGUCUGGUCUGCAACUGACGCUGAGGCUCGAAAGCAUGGGUAGCGAACAGGAUUAGAUACCCUGGUAGUCCAUGCCCGUAAAACGAUGAGUGCUAGGUGUUGGA
rnacentral:rRNA from 1 species